CACUACUGUGAGCAUUACAAAAGAUAGACUCAAACAUAGGGGUGUAGCUUUAGGUGUUUGGCUUUUCAUGCAGUCCUUAGAUCAAUGGUGCUGAUUUUUUGCUUUAGCUCUUUCACAUGUGGUAACCCUUAAUCAUAUGUUCAAGUAAUUGCCCCCUCUUUCAGGGACUUAGGAGGCUUUGGUUCUUUUUUCUCUUUAGUUAGCUCAUAGCCCAAACCAUACCUUG
rnacentral:misc_RNA from 1 species